AUUGAACGCUGGCGGCAGGCCUAACACAUGCAAGUCGAGCGGAUGAAGGGAGCUUGCUCCUGGAUUCAGCGGCGGACGGGUGAGUAAUGCCCAGGAAUCUGCCUGGCAGUGGGGGAUAACGUCCGGAAACGGGAGCUAAUACCGCAUACGUCCAGAGGGAGAAAGUGGGGGAUCUUCGGACAUCAAGCUAUCAGAUGAGCCUAGGUCGGAUUAGCUAGUUGGUGGGGUAAAGGCCUACCAAGGCGACGAUCCGUAACUGGUCUGAGAGGAUGAUCAGCCACACUGGAACUGAGACACGGUCCAGACUCCUACGGGAGGCAGCAGUAGGGAAUAUUGGACAAUGGGCGAAAGCCUGAUCCAGCCAUGCCGCGUGUGUGAAGAAGGUCUUCGGAUUGUAAAGCUCUGUAAGUUGGGAGGAAGGGCAGUGUGUGUAUACCUUGCUGUUUUGACGGUACCAACAGAAUAAGCACCGGCUAACUACGUG
rnacentral:rRNA from 1 species